rnacentral:rRNA from 1 species
AUUGAACGCUGGCGGCAGGCCUAACACAUGCAAGUCGAACGAGUGGCGGACGGGUGAGUAAUGUAUGGGAAACUGCCUGAUGGAGGGGGAUAACUACUGGAAACGGUCGCUAAUACCGCAUACCAUCGGAUGUUCCCAGAUGGGAUUAGCUAGUAGGUGGGGUAAAGGCUCACCUAGGCGACGAACCCUAGCUGGUAUGAGAGGAUGACCAGCCACACUGGAACUGAGACACGGUCCAGACUCCUAAGGGAGGCAUCAGUGGGGAAUAUUGCACAAUGGGCGCAAGCCUGAUGCAGCCAUGCCGCGUGUAUGAAGAAGGCCUUCGGGUUGUAAAGUACUUUCAGCGGGGAGGCGUUACCCGCAGAAGAAGCACCGGCUAACUCCGUGCCAGCAGCCGCGGUAAUAC